GGUUCUGUAGCUUAAAGGUAAAGCAGCCGACUCAUAAUCGGGGGAUUUCUGGUUCGAACCCAGAUGGAGCCACCA
rnacentral:tRNA from 1 species